UACGAAGGGGGCAAGCGUUGUUCGGAAUUACUGGGCGUAAAGCGUGCGCAGGCGGUUUUGUAAGCCAGAUGUGAAAUCCCCGGGCUUAACCUGGGAAUGGCAUUUGGGACUGCAAGGCUGGAGUUUGGCAGAGGAGACUGGAAUUCCCGGUGUAGCAGUGAAAUGCGUAGAUAUCGGGAGGAAUACCGAUGGCGAAGGCAGGUCUCUGGGCUAUAACUGACGCUCAUGCACGAAAGCGUGGGGAGCAAACAGG
rnacentral:rRNA from 1 species